rnacentral:rRNA from 1 species
GACCAAGGAGUCUAACACGUGCGCGAGUCGCAGGGUUGUACGAAACCCGAGGGCGUAACGAAAGUGAACGAGAUCUUCGGAUCUAUCGGGUGGGAUCCCGAGGCCUACGGUCGAGGGCGCACCACCGGCCUGUCUCGGCCGCUACGUCGGCGAGGCGGAGCAAGAGCGUACGCGUUGGGACCCGAAAGAUGGUGAACUAUGCCUGAGCAGGAUGAAGCCAGAAGAAAUUCUGGUGGAAGUCCGCAGCGAUUCUGACGUGCAAAUCGAUCGUCAAACUUGGGUAUAGGGGCGAAAGACUAAUCGAACCAUCUAGUAGCUGUUCCUUCCGAA